UGCCAGCCCUGGGUGACUUGUAAGG
rnacentral:piRNA from 1 species